rnacentral:rRNA from 1 species
CCCUUAGAUGUUCUGGGCCGCACGCGCGCUACAAUGAUGAAUUCAACGAGUUUAUAACCUUGGUUGAAAAGCCUGGGUAAUCUUUUGAACUUUCGUCGUGAUGGGGCUAGACCCUUGCAAUUAUUGGUCUCCAACGAGGAAUUCCUAGUAAACGCAAGUCAUCAGCUUGCAUUGAUUACGUCCCUGCCCUUUGUGCACACCGCCCGUCGCGCCUACCGAUUGAAUGGUCCGGUGAAAUCUUCGGAUUGAGACUUUGAUUUCUUCACGGAAAACGUUGUUUUAUAAAGUUGAUUAAACCUUACCAUUUAGAGGAAGGUGAAGUCGUAACA